rnacentral:sRNA from 1 species
GUUCCUGGAAUAUGAUCGAGACCGGCCGUUCCGCCGGCGCCCGACCGGUCA